CAAAGGAUGCCUGAAAAAGGUAUAUUUUGAUAGAAUAUCUCAUGUGGUUAUAAAUACUUCUCCUUUGA
rnacentral:tRNA from 1 species